rnacentral:rRNA from 1 species
GACGUAGGGCGCGAGCGUUGUCCGGAUUUAUUGGGCGUAAAGAGCUCGUAGGCGGCUUGUCGCGUCGACUGUGAAAACCCGCGGCUCAACCGUGUGGCUUGCAGUUGAUACGGGCAGGCUAGAGUUCGGUAGGGGAGACUGGAAUUCCUGGUGUAGCGGUGAAAUGCGCAGAUAUCAGGAGGAACACCGGUGGCGAAGGCGGGUCUCUGGGCCGAUACUGACGCUGGGGAGCGAAAGCGUGGGGAGCGAACAGG